rnacentral:ncRNA from 2 species
AUCGAACCAUCUAGUAGCUGGU